AGAUUAAGUUAUUAAGGGCGCACGGUGGAUGCCUUGGCACUAGAAGCCGAUGAAGGACGUUACUAACGACGAUAUGCUUUGGGGAGCUGUAAGUAAGCUUUGAUCCAGAGAUUUCCGAAUGGGGAAACCCAGCAUGAGUUAUGUCAUGUUAUCGAUAUGUGAAUACAUAGCAUAUCAGAAGGCACACCCGGAGAACUGAAACAUCUUAGUACCCGGAGGAAGAGAAAGAAAAUUCGAUUCCCUUAGUAGCGGCGAGCGAAACGGGAAGAGCCCAAACCAACAAGCUUGCUUGUUGGGGUUGUAGGACACUCUAUACGGAGUUACAAAGGACGACAUUAGACGAAUCAUCUGGAAAGAUGAAUCAAAGAAGGUAAUAAUCCUGUAGUCGAAAAUGUUGUCUCUCUUGAGUGGAUCCUGAGUACGACGGAGCACGUGAAAUUCCGUCGGAAUCUGGGAGGACCAUCUCCUAAGGCUAAAUACUCUCUAGUGACCGAUAGUGAACCAGUACCGUGAGGGAAAGGUGAAAAGCACCCCGGAAGGGGAGUGAAAUAGAACCUGAAACCGUGUGCUUACAAGUAGUCAGAGCCCGUUAAUGGGUGAUGGCGUGCCUUUUGUAGAAUGAACCGGCGAGUUACGAUUUGAUGCAAGGUUAAGCAGUAAAUGUGGAGCCGUAGCGAAAGCGAGUCUGAAUAGGGCGUUUAGUAUUUGGUCGUAGACCCGAAACCAGGUGAUCUACCCUUGGUCAGGUUGAAGUUCAGGUAACACUGAAUGGAGGACCGAACCGACUUACGUUGAAAAGUGAGCGGAUGAACUGAGGGUAGCGGAGAAAUUCCAAUCGAACCUGGAGAUAGCUGGUUCUCUCCGAAAUAGCUUUAGGGCUAGCCUCAAGUGAUGAUUAUUGGAGGUAGAGCACUGUUUGGACGAGGGGCCCCUCUCGGGUUACCGAAUUCAGACAAACUCCGAAUGCCAAUUAAUUUAACUUGGGAGUCAGAACAUGGGUGAUAAGGUCCGUGUUCGAAAGGGAAACAGCCCAGACCACCAGCUAAGGUCCCAAAAUAUAUGUUAAGUGGAAAAGGAUGUGGCGUUGCCCAGACAACUAGGAUGUUGGCUUAGAAGCAGCCAUCAUUUAAAGAGUGCGUAAUAGCUCACUAGUCGAGUGACACUGCGCCGAAAAUGUACCGGGGCUAAACAUAUUACCGAAGCUGUGGAUUGUCCUUUGGACAAUGGUAGGAGAGCGUUCUAAGGGCGUUGAAGCAUGAUCGUAAGGACAUGUGGAGCGCUUAGAAGUGAGAAUGCCGGUGUGAGUAGCGAAAGACGGGUGAGAAUCCCGUCCACCGAUUGACUAAGGUUUCCAGAGGAAGGCUCGUCCGCUCUGGGUUAGUCGGGUCCUAAGCUGAGGCCGACAGGCGUAGGCGAUGGAUAACAGGUUGAUAUUCCUGUACCACCUAUAAUCGUUUUAAUCGAUGGGGGGGACGCAGUAGGAUAGGCGAAGCGUGCGAUUGGAUUGCACGUCUAAGCAGUAAGGCUGAGUAUUAGGCAAAUCCGGUACUCGUUAAGGCUGAGCUGUGAUGGGGAGAAGACAUUGUGUCUUCGAGUCGUUGAUUUCACACUGCCGAGAAAAGCCUCUAGAUAGAAAAUAGGUGCCCGUACCGCAAACCGACACAGGUAGUCAAGAUGAGAAUUCUAAGGUGAGCGAGCGAACUCUCGUUAAGGAACUCGGCAAAAUGACCCCGUAACUUCGGGAGAAGGGGUGCUCUUUAGGGUUAACGCCCAGAAGAGCCGCAGUGAAUAGGCCCAAGCGACUGUUUAUCAAAAACACAGGUCUCUGCUAAACCGUAAGGUGAUGUAUAGGGGCUGACGCCUGCCCGGUGCUGGAAGGUUAAGAGGAGUGGUUAGCUUCUGCGAAGCUACGAAUCGAAGCCCCAGUAAACGGCGGCCGUAACUAUAACGGUCCUAAGGUAGCGAAAUUCCUUGUCGGGUAAGUUCCGACCCGCACGAAAGGCGUAACGAUUUGGGCACUGUCUCAACGAGAGACUCGGUGAAAUCAUAGUACCUGUGAAGAUGCAGGUUACCCGCGACAGGACGGAAAGACCCCGUGGAGCUUUACUGUAGCCUGAUAUUGAAAUUCGGCACAGCUUGUACAGGAUAGGUAGGAGCCUUUGAAACGUGAGCGCUAGCUUACGUGGAGGCGCUGGUGGGAUACUACCCUAGCUGUGUUGGCUUUCUAACCCGCACCACUUAUCGUGGUGGGAGACAGUGUCAGGCGGGCAGUUUGACUGGGGCGGUCGCCUCCUAAAAGGUAACGGAGGCGCUCAAAGGUUCCCUCAGAAUGGUUGGAAAUCAUUCAUAGAGUGUAAAGGCAUAAGGGAGCUUGACUGCGAGACCUACAAGUCGAGCAGGGUCGAAAGACGGACUUAGUGAUCCGGUGGUUCCGCAUGGAAGGGCCAUCGCUCAACGGAUAAAAGCUACCCCGGGGAUAACAGGCUUAUCUCCCCCAAGAGUUCACAUCGACGGGGAGGUUUGGCACCUCGAUGUCGGCUCAUCGCAUCCUGGGGCUGUAGUCGGUCCCAAGGGUUGGGCUGUUCGCCCAUUAAAGCGGUACGCGAGCUGGGUUCAGAACGUCGUGAGACAGUUCGGUCCCUAUCCGUCGUGGGCGUAGGAAAUUUGAGAGGAGCUGUCCUUAGUACGAGAGGACCGGGAUGGACAUACCUCUGGUGUACCAGUUGUCGUGCCAACGGCAUAGCUGGGUAGCUAUGUGUGGACGGGAUAAGUGCUGAAAGCAUCUAAGCAUGAAGCCCCCCUCAAGAUGAGAUUUCCCAACUUCGGUUAUAAGAUCCCU
rnacentral:rRNA from 1 species